rnacentral:rRNA from 1 species
ACGAUGGAUUACCAGUGAGCGGCGGACGGGUGAGUAACACGUGGGCAACCUGCCCUGGAGCGGGGGAUAACAUUUGGAAACAGAUGCUAAUACCGCAUAAUAAUCAAAACCACAUGGUUUUGAUUUCAAAGAUGGCUUCGGCUAUCACUCCAGGAUGGGCCCGCGGUGCAUUAGCUAGUUGGUAAGGUAACGGCUUACCAAGGCGAUGAUGCAUAGCCGAGUUGAGAGGGUAAUCGGCCACAUUGGGACUGAGACACGGCCCAGACUCC